rnacentral:tRNA from 1 species
GGAAAGUUAACCAUAAUUGGUAUUGGAGCGGGUUGCUAACUCGUUGUACCCUCUGGGUAUUGCAGGUUCAAGUCCUGUACUUUCCG